rnacentral:rRNA from 1 species
UACGAAGGGGGCUAGCGUUGCUCGGAAUCACUGGGCGUAAAGGGCGCGUAGGUGGUGGCUUAAGCGUGCGGUGAAAGCUCGGAGCUCAACUCCGAGUCGGCCGUGCGAACUGGGCUCACUGGAGCAUAGUAGAGGCAGGUGGAAUUCCGGGUGUAGCGGUGGAAUGCGUAGAGAUCCGGAGGAACACCGACGGCGUAGGCAGCGCCCUGGACGACACCUGACGCUGAGGCACGAAAGCUGGGGGAGCAAACAGG